CAGCCGCCGCGGGAAUACGGAGGGGGCUAGCGUUGUUCGGAAUUACUGGGCGUAAAGCGCACGUAGGCGGCUUGGUAAGUUAGAGGUGAAAGCCUGGAGCUCAACUCCAGAAUUGCCUUUAAGACUGCCGAGCUAGCAGGUGAGAGAGGUAAGUGGAAUUCCGAGUGUAGAGGUGAAAUUCGUAGAUAUUCGGAAGAACACCAGUGGCGAAGGCGGCUUACUGGCUCAUACUGGACGCUGAGGUGCGAAAGCGUGGGGAGCAAACAGGAUUAGAUACCCCGGUAGUCCCUGUCUCUUAUAA
rnacentral:rRNA from 1 species